GGGGAUUUAGCUCAGUGGUAGAGCACUUGCCUAGCAAGCACAAGGCCCUAGGUUCAGUCCCCA
rnacentral:tRNA from 1 species